rnacentral:rRNA from 1 species
CUUAGAUAUUACACAGUACACCGGAUUGCGUAGGCAGCUUACUAAACUGUAACUGACGCUGAGGCACGAUAGCGUGGGGAGCGUACAGGAUUAGAUACCCUGGUAGUCCACGCUGUAAACUAUGAUCACUCGCUGUUGGCGAUACAUUGUCAGCGGCUGAGCGAAAGCAUUAAGUGAUCCACCUGGGGAGUACGGCCGCAAGGUUGAAACUCAAAGGAAUUGACGGGGGCCCGCACAAGCGGUGGAACAUGUGGUUUAAUUCGAUGAUACGCGAGGAACCUUACCUGGGCUUAAAUGCAGAACGACGUACCGGGAAACUGGUACUCCCUUCGGGGCGGACUGCAAGGUGCUGCAUGGUUGUCGUCAGCUCGUGCCGUGAGGUGUCGGGUUAAGUCCCAUAACGAGCGCAACCCUCAUUGUUAGUUGCCAGCGAGUAACGUCGGGGACUCUAACAAAACUGCCGGUGUAAACCGCGAGGAAGGUGGGGAUGACGUCAAAUCAGCACGGCCCUUAAGUCCAGGGCUACAACACCUGUUUACCAAGGGCCAGAACAAAGGGCAGCUACCACGCGAGUGGAUGCUAAUCUCUAAAGCUGGUCUCAGUUCGGAUUGAAGUCUGCAACUCGACUUCAUGAAGCUGGAAUCCCUAGUAAUCGCGCAUCAGCCAUGGCGCGGUGAUACGUUCCCGGGCAUUGUACGCACCGCCCGUCAAGCCAUGGAAGCUUGGGGUACCUGAAGUCCGUAACCGAAAGGAUCGGCCUUAGGGUAAAACAAGUGACUGGGGCUAAGU